UAGGGGCAGGGGGAGGUUAACAGUAGAGUAGUGAGUGUACUUAACACGUCUCUUUACUAAUUACGAGUGAGAUGAAAGGGUGGAGUGGAUGGUUUGAGUUUGUUUUUACUUGUUCUUCAUCUCCUCCUCCUCUUCACCCUUCACCAUUCUCUCUCAUGUGCUUUGGGUUAUAUUAUCAUUAUUAUAAUACCUUUGCUGCCUCCCUCCUCAUAUUUUUAUUUCUCUUUCACCUCUUCCCCCCCACCCUAUUUUCUUGAUCCGCUUUGCUUCCCAUCUUUUUCCUGAUUACUUCAACCCCGAGUUAUCAACGAUGCGGCUCCACUUUUGUCUUUUCACUUGUGUUUCCUUUCUUCUACUCGCCUCCUGUUUCGGGAGAUUUGUAGUCGAGAAGAACAGUUUGAAAGUUGCUUCACCAGACUCACUCAAAGGUCUUCAUGAAUGUGCAAUUGGUAAUUUUGGGGUUCCUCAGUAUGGUGGAACAUUGGUUGGCUCUGUCUUCUACCCUAAAUCCAAUCAAAAGGCAUGUACCAAUUUUCAAGAUGUUGAUCUUUCCUUUCAGACCAAGCCUGGAGGCAUUCCAAUCUUCCUUCUGGCUGACAGAGGGGACUGCUACUUCACAUUAAAGGCAUGGAAUGCUCAGAAUGGUGGAGCCGCAGCUAUUCUUGUGGCGGAUGACAGGGUUGAGCCUCUUAUUACCAUGGAUACCCCAGAGGAAGAGGAUGCACGUGCAGAUUAUCUGCAGAACAUAACUAUCCCAUCAGCACUCAUCAGCAAGGAUCUCGGGGACAAAAUUAAAAAAGAACUAUCUAAAGGAGAAAUGGUCAGCAUAAAUCUUGAUUGGAGGGAAGCUCUUCCACAUCCAGAUGAGCGGGUUGAGUAUGAGUUGUGGACAAACAGUAAUGAUGAGUGUGGUCCCAAGUGUGACAGCCAGUUAAGUUUUAUCAGAAAUUUCAAAGGAGCUGCUCAGAUACUUGAGCAGGGGGGCUAUACUCAGUUCACUCCACAUUAUAUAACUUGGUAUUGUCCUGAGGCUUUUAUAUUAAGUAAGCAGUGCAAGUCACAGUGCAUCAACCACGGGAGGUAUUGUGCACCAGAUCCCGAGCAGGAUUUCAACAGAGGAUAUGAUGGGAAGGAUGUUGUUGAGCAAAAUUUACGCCAAGCCUGCUUCUUUAAGGUAGCAAAUGAAAGUGGAAAACCGUGGCAGUGGUGGGACUAUGUGACUGAUUUUUCAAUCCGCUGUCCAAUGAAAGAAAACAAGUAUACUAAAGAGUGUGCAGAUAAAGUAAUUCAAUCGCUCGGAGUCGACAUUAAGAAGAUAGACGAAUGCGUUGGAGACACUGAAGCAGAUGUUGACAACCCAAUUCUAAAAGCAGAACAGGAAUCACAGAUAGGGAAGGGCUCACGAGGAGACGUUACUAUCUUGCCAACUCUUGUUGUGAACAACAGGCAAUAUAGAGGUAAGCUGGACAAGGGAGCAGUUCUUAAGGCAAUUUGCUCAGGUUUCGAGGAGACUACAGAACCUGCUAUUUGUUUGACUAAAGAUAUGGAGACAAACGAGUGUUUGUAUAACAAUGGUGGAUGCUGGCAGGAUAAGGCUGCUAAUAUUACUGCUUGCAGGGAUACCUUCCGAGGGAGGGUGUGUGAGUGCCCCAUUGUGCAGGGCGUGAAAUUUUCUGGUGAUGGUUACACCCAUUGUGAAGCUUCUGGUGCAUUGAGAUGUGAAAUAAACAACGGAGGUUGCUGGAAAGGAACGAAAGAUGGAAGGACAUAUUCUGCGUGCAUUGAUGACCAUACAAAAGGUUGCAAGUGUCCACCAGGGUUCAGAGGUGAUGGAGUUAAUAGCUGUGAAGAUAUUGAUGAAUGCAAGGAAAAUCUGGCUUGCCAGUGUCCAGAGUGCAAAUGCAAGAACACUUGGGGAAGUUAUGAAUGUAGUUGCAGUAGCAACGCACUAUACAUUCAUGAACAUGACACGUGUAUAAGUAAAGAUGCUAGUACAGAAUAUAGCUGGAGUUUUGUGUGGGUGGUUUUUCUUGGUUUGGCUGUGGCAGGAGCUGCAGGAUAUGCUCUAUACAAGUACAGGAUCCGGAGAUACAUGGACUCGGAGAUCCGGGCUAUCAUGGCGCAGUACAUGCCUUUGGACAAUCAAGGGGAGGUACCGAAUCACAUGACUCAAGGGCAUGUUUGAGGAUGGCGAGGAAAAUGGAAAUGUUAUGUACCCUCCAUCACAUGUUUAUUUGGUUGUGUGGUGUAUGCUGCCAUCAGGGGCACCUACGCAAUCGUUAUGUGAUGGUUGUUUUUACAGGGUUGUUCUGUAAAAUGACUACCCCUGCACAGCGUCCAAGGACAGAGGCAUAUGCUAAUAGCUUGGGCAAGAAGGCCGUUUGACACUUUCCUAGAAAGAACUGGGUGAUACCCCCCAUUGUUGUGGCAUGCAGUAUUGCAACUUUCUUCACAUCCGGUGUCCAUGCAUCAUACAAAAUUGAGAGACUGCGUCAGGAACCUAGGAUUUCACAUAGUUGUGACGGUGGUUAGCAUGUUAUACUUGUGUAACUCAGGCCGUGGCCUACAAUUCAUUAAUGCAUUGAUUAAUGCCUGUU